GAUGAACGCUGGCGGCGUGCCUAAUACAUGCAAGUCGAGCGAACAGACGAGGAGCUUGCUCCUCUGACGUUAGCGGCGGACGGGUGAGUAACACGUGGAUAACCUAUCUAUAAGACUGGGAUAACUUCGGGAAACCGGAGCUAAUACCGGAUAAUAUAUUGAACCGCAUGGUUCAAUAGUGAAAGACGGUUUUGCUGUCACUUAUAGAUGGAUCCGCGCCGCAUUAGCUAGUUGGUAAGGUAACGGCUUACCAAGGCAACGAUGCGUAGCCGACCUGAGAGGGUGAUCGGCCACACUGGAACUGAGACACGGUCCAGACUCCUACGGGAGGCAGCAGUAGGGAAUCUUCCGCAAUGGGCGAAAGCCUGACGGAGCAACGCCGCGUGAGUGAUGAAGGUCUUCGGAUCGUAAAACUCUGUUAUUAGGGAAGAACAAAUGUGUAAGUAACUAUGCACGUCUUGACGGUACCUAAUCAGAAAGCCACGGCUAACUACGU
rnacentral:rRNA from 1 species